GCGCACUUGGCCUACCGUGCAUCUACCGCGGAGUUACCAUGGGUUUACUGUGAACUUGCCUUUACAUCUGGCAGGUGAUUCCGUUAAUACCAUGGACUUACCGUGCAUCUCCCGCGGAGUUACCAUGGGUUUACUGUGAACUUGCCUUUACAUCUGGCAGGUGAUUCCGUUAAUACCAUGGACUUACCGUCCAUCUACCGUGGAGUUACCAUGGGUUUACUGUGAACUUGCCUUUACAUCUGGCAGGCGAUUCCGUUAAUACCAUGGACUUACCGUGGAGUUAGCAUGCGAUUACUGUGAACUUGCCUUUACAUCUGACAGGUGAUUCCGUUAAUACCAUGGACUUACCGUACAUCGACCGUGGAGUUACCAUGGGUUUACUGUGAACUUGCCUUUACAUCUGGCAGGUGAUUCCGUUAAUACCAUGGACUUACCGUCCAUCUACCGUGGAGUUACCAUGGGUUUACUGUGAACCUGCUUUUACAUCUGGCAGGUGAUUCCGUUAAUACCAUGGACUUACCGUGCAUCGACCGUGGAGUUACCAUGCGAUUACUGUGAACUUGCCUUUACAUCUGGCAGAUGGUGGUGUUAGUACCAUGGACUUACCGUACAUCUCCCGUGGACUUACCAUGGGUUUACAGUGGACUUGCCUUUACAUCUGGCAGAUGGUUGUUAGUACCAUGGACUUACCGUACAUCUCCCGUGGACUUACCAUGGGUUUACAGUGGACUUGCCUUUACAUCUGGCAGAUGGUUGUUAGUACCAUGGACUUACCGUACAUCUCCCGUGGACUUACCAUGGGUUUACUGUGGACUUGCCUAUACAUCUGGCAGAUGGUUGUGUUGGGACCAUGGACUUACCAUGGGUUUACUGUGGACUUUCAUUUACAUCUGGCAGGUGAUUGUGUUAGUACCAUUGACUUACCAUGAAUCUACCGUAGACUUACCAUGGGUUUACUGUGGACUUUCCUGUACAUCUGGCAGAUGAUAGUGUGACAUGUACCGUACAUCUACCAUAUAAAUAUGGUCUUACCAUAGAUUUACUAUGGACUUCCCAUACAUUUACUGUGAACUAACCACACAUUUACUUCGGAAAUACCAUGCAUUGUCAACAUAUUUUCCCGACAAAGACACUACCAUAUUCAUAGAGAAUGUGUUCAGCGAGAUUGCUGUCGAAUUACCAUACAUUUACCAUGGCCUUAACACCACUUCACACUCAAAUUCAAUGACGACCCAUUUAGCCGGAUGGUCAAGGAGGUGAGCUUCCAGUGAGAAUACCAUACAUUUUCUAUGGGUCUUGUACGACAUGUACAACGAAACUUAACAAUUCAAAUAGAAGAGAAGUCAGGCAAGGAGAUGUACUCACGUCAAGGCUAUUGACAGAUACACUACGUCAGAUGUUCUUUAUAACAACACAUAGUGAACGUCAGGAUAUGAUCACAGAACUUGACGACGGAUGCCAAGAGUGGUUAAGAUAAAU